AGGUGCAUGCAACCCAGACACAUUCUUUACGUUAAACUUGAUCUCUUAAUCUAUUCAUGUAAUAAAAACUUAAUGACAAGGUAAUGACACUUGAUGUCUAUCUUGUCGAUCAACUUAAAACUAAAUGGAAAGAUAAUAAAUUUUUAUGAUAUACAUCACAAAUUAAUACCUAUAUAUGGACACACACACACACACACACACACACACACACACACA
rnacentral:lncRNA from 1 species